rnacentral:rRNA from 1 species
GAUGAACGCUGGCGGCGUGCCUAAUACAUGCAAGUCGAGCGAACAGACGAGGAGCUUGCUCCUCUGACGUUAGCGGCGGACGGGUGAGUAACACGUGGAUAACCUACCUAUAAGACUGGGAUAACUUCGGGAAACCGGAGCUAAUACCGGAUAAUAUAUUGAACCGCAUGGUUCAAUAGUGAAAGACGGUUUUGCUGUCACUUAUAGAUGGAUCCGCGCCGCAUUAGCUAGUUGGUAAGGUCACGGCUUACCAAGGCAACGAUGCGUAGCCGACCUGAGAGGGUGAUCGGCCACACUGGAACUGAGACACGGUCCAGACUCCUACGGGAGGCAGCAGUAGGGAAUCUUCCGCAAUGGGCGAAAGCCUGACGGAGCAACGCCGCGUGAGUGAUGAAGGUCUUCGGAUCGUAAAACUCUGUUAUUAGGGAAGAACAAAUGUGUAAGUAACUAUGCACGUCUUGACGGUACCUAAUCAGAAAGCCACGGCUAACUACGUG